rnacentral:rRNA from 1 species
UUACUCCUACGGGAGGCAGCAGUGUGGAAUAUUGCACAAUGGGCGCAAGCCUGAUGCAGCCAUGCCGCGUGUAUGAAGAAGGCCUUCGGGUUGUAAAGUACUUUCAGCGGGGAGGAAGGGAGUAAAGUUAAUACCUUUGCUCAUUGACGUUACCCGCAGAAGAAGCACCGGCUAACACCGUGCCAGCAGCCGCGGUAAUAA